rnacentral:rRNA from 1 species
UACGAAGGGGGCUAGCGUUGCUCGGAAUCACUGGGCGUAAAGGGUGCGUAGGCGGGUCUUUAAGUCAGGGGUGAAAUCCUGGAGCUCAACUCCAGAACUGCCCUUGAUACUGAGGAUCUUGAGUUCGGGAGAGGUGAGUGGAACUGCGAGUGUAGAGGUGAAAUUCGUAGAUAUUCGCAAGAACACCAGUGGCGAAGGCGGCUCACUGGCCCGAUACUGACGCUGAUGCGCGACAGCAUGGGGAGCAAACAGG